rnacentral:rRNA from 1 species
UAUUUUGACUAUACAAAGGUAUUGAAAUAAGAUUUUAAUUGAAUGCUAAGAGAAUGGAAUUUCAGAAAAAAACUUUUUUUAAAUUAAAAAUUGAAAUUUUUUUAAUUUGUGCAGAAACAAUUAUUAACAUUAAGGACAAGAAGACCCUAUGAAUUUUUAAAAUUUUUAAUAAUGGUAAUUUAUUAUUAUUAAAAAUUUUAGCUGGGGCGGCUAAAAAAUAUAAUUAACUUUUUAAGAAUAAAACGAUCCACUAAUAAUGAUUACAUGUUAAAUACUCUAGGGAUAACAGCGUUAUAUUUUUUGAUAGACCAUAUUGACAAAAAAGUUUGCGACCUCGAUGUUGGAUUAGGAUACUUUUUUAAUGAAGAUAUUAAAAAAAGAAGUUUGUUCAACUUUUAAUUUCCU